rnacentral:rRNA from 1 species
AACGAACGCUGGCGGCAUGCCUAACACAUGCAAGUCGAACGAGACCUUCGGGUCUAGUGGCGCACGGGUGCGUAACGCGUGGGAAUCUACCCUCAGGUUCGGAAUAACUCAGAUAAAUUUGAGCUAAUACCGGAUGAUGACGUAAGUCCAAAGAUUUAUCGCCUGAGGAUGAGCCCGCUUAGGAUUAGGUAGUUGGUGAGGUAAAGGCUCACCAAGCCGACGAUCCUUAGCUGGUCUGAGAGGAUGAUCAGCCACACUGGGACUGAGACACGGCCCAGACUCCUACGGGAGGCAGCAGUGGGGAAUAUUGGACAAUGGGCGAAAGCCUGAUACAGCAAUGCCGGGUGAGUGAUGAAGGCCUUAGGGUUGUAAAGCUCUUUUACCCGGGAUGAUAAUGACAGUACCGGGAGAAUAAGCACCGGCUAACUCCGUG